rnacentral:piRNA from 1 species
UGAAGAAGGACCCCGACCUUCCCCCAGUGU